rnacentral:ncRNA from 1 species
CUUGCGCCACUUUUUGCAGGUGUCCGUCGCAAAGCGCGACGGGUGAAACGGGAAAUCGGUGAGUUCGGCUAUGAGCCGGCAAGUCCGAUGCUGCCCCCGCAACGGUAAGCAGGAUAACGGCAAUCUGAUGCGCCACUGUGCUUCGGCAUGGGAAGGUGAUUGCCCGGGUACCCUUCAUGGGGUCCGCCUGCAAGCCCGGAGACCGGCCCGCAAAAACACCCGACG